UUGAAAACAGUUACCUUUUGAAAACCUGUCUUUUUAUACAACUAGCAGUUUAUAUCAAACUAAAUAAAUAAAAACCCAGAUUUAAAUUUUAUAACUUUAAAGAGGCCUUUUUACAUAAAAAUACCUAGAUUCGGUUACUUAUAAAUCAAAAGCUAAAAAUGAAAGCCGGUGCGGUUGUGUGGCCAUCAUCGAGUCCCUCGC
rnacentral:lncRNA from 1 species